rnacentral:lncRNA from 1 species
UGCACUCCAGCAUGGACGACAGAGGGAGACUCCGUCUAAAAAAAAAAAAGCAAGUGCUUCAUCCUCACCAAAAAGGAGCUAUUCUUUUUACUUGGGCAACCUUCUCUGAAAGCAAAGUCACCUGUCUUGUAAUGAAGCUUCGCAAUUAGGGUUUACACACGAUGUGGCAAAGGAACGCUCACAGUUUGCUGUCUCUUUGGCAUCAACUUCUCCCUGCACAUAAAGCGGGCAUUUCUCGAGCCUGGCUUUUUGGCUUUCCUUUGCUAGGCUCCAUGUAGACACACUGCCCUUUGGGGAGCUGUUGACAGGGUUGAUUAGAGAAUGACUAUCUUCGGUUACUAUGGGAGACACUGCUGGUUGUCCACCCAGUUCCUCCUUUGUUCCUUACUAUUUUGUUCACAGUGGCAAUAUUUUCAGGGAAGGUGAACCCAGCCCUAAGGAGUGAACUAUGAUUGGAUAGCUCACUCUGCGGAUUCCAGGUUUCCUUGUGAUUGGAUAGAACGCUGCGGAUUCCAGGCUUCGUUGUGAUUGGAUAGAACUUAGCGGAUUCCAGGCUUCCUUGUGAUUGGCUAGAACUCUGCGGAUUCCAGGCUUCCUUGUGAUUGGAUAGCUCACUCUGUGGAUUCCAGGCUUCCUUGACAGUAACUGGCUUAGGAGUAGGCAUAUGACCCAUUCUACUCAAAGAGGCAUAAGCGGACACUGACGUUUGCUGGCAGGGGAUGAGGAGCUUGGAAAAGAUCCUCCUCCCGUUUUGCCAUCUUUGUUUCUUGCCACAAUAGGAUGUAACCAUUGGCGCUGCAGCAGCCACCCUGCGACCAUGAAUGGAGAGCCAAGAGAAUGGCAGAGGGUGGAAUUAAGUGACAAGGCAAAGCUAAUGUAAGAUACAUAAAACACCAAAAACACCAAGCAUUCUGCCGUGAACCCAUUUGGUGCUCAAUAAAAUCAUUGCCCUUUUUUUGGUGUUUUGUUGGAGACAAAACGGAAACACCAAAUGGCUGGUGGAAGUGGUAGGAAAAAAGGAGACCAAAAACCCAGUGGCUCUGAAGAGCAGGGCUUCUCAUCCUCAGCACUGCUGACAUUUGCGCCAGAUAUUUCUUUGUUUUGGAGGCUGUCCUGUGCACUGUCGGAUGUUUAGCAGCAUCGUCAGCCUCUACUCUCCAGGAGUCUGAGCCAAGGCUGCGUCCACAGGAGGGAGUCACUGACGGUUGGAGGACUGAUAUUCACCAAUACCUUUCCCACAAACAAGAGAUGCCUGAGAAAGACCUGGUCAUGCAGGAGGUGGUGAGUGGCUACUGGAAGAAAUAUGGUGGCUGGGGGAGGGGCAAGGGAGAAGUCUGCCUGCGGUUGAGCAGGCUGGCUGGAGAGCCAAGGCCAGUGCCCACUAGUGACUCUCCCGAGGGGUGUUGCCUUGGUGGGCUUCCCCGCUCUGGCCUUUUGUCACCUUGUUUGCUGAAUCCAGGUAAAAUUUUUGACCAAAUUGGAAAGCAAUUCCGGGGAGUUGGAGUCAGAUCUGUCCCUACCCUUGCUGUUGCUAAUGAGCUGUAUGACCUUAGUUGAGCCAUUUGAUCUCUCUGCAACUGUUUCUUGGGCUGUGAAACAUGGGGGUUGGAGUCUCUGAUUUCUAAGGUCCUUUUCAGCUGUAAGUUCUAAGGCCUGUGAAUACCACAGUGUGAUGAAGCCAACUGGGUGGUGGUGAGGGCCUUGUAAGUUUCAGUCUUACUGCAAGCCGGCGAUAGAAUUCUCCCCAUGUCUUUGUUAAGAACUCUUGGCCGGGCACAGUGGCUCAUGCCUGUAAUCC